UGAAUACGAGAUGCUACGGCGUCGAAGCAGUGUAUGUCAGACUUCCAAGAAAAGCUCGCAAUGUCAUAAAUAAAGAAUGCCUGUACCAUAACCGACACAGGUGGGUAGGUAGAGUAUACUAAGGGGCGCGAGAUAACUCUCUCUAAGGAACUCGGCAAAAUAACUCCGUAACUUCGGGAGAAGGAGUGCCUUCUUUAAGAAGGUUGCAAUAACAAGAUCCAAGCAACUGUUUAUCAAAAACACAGGUCUCCGCUAAGUCGUAAGACGAUGUAUGGGGGCUGACGCCUGCCCAGUGCCAGAAGGUUAAAGAAGUUGGUUAGCUUUUGCGAAGCUGAUGACUGAAGCCCUGGUGAACGGCGGCCGUAACGAUAACGGUCCUAAGGUAGCGAAAUUCCUUGUCGGGUAAGUUCCGACCCGCACGAAAGGCGUAAUGAUUUGGAUACUGUCUCGGAGAGGGACUCGGUGAAAUAGACUUGUCUGUGAAGAUGCGGACUACCUGCACCAGGACAGAAAGACCCUAUGAAGCUUUACUGUAACUUGAAAUUGAAAUUGGACUUUAUUUGCGCAGUAUAGGUGGAAGGCGUUGAAAGUAAUCUUGCGGGAUUAGUGGAGCCAUCAGUGAGAUACCACUCCUAUAAUGUUAGAUUUCUAACUUUGGAUCAUGAUCUGGUCAAAGAACAGUUUCAGGCGGGCAGUUUGACUGGGGCGGUCGCCUCCCAAAUGGUAACGGAGGCGUACAAAGGUUUCCUCUGAACGGGUAGAAAUCGUAUCUAGAGUGUAAAGGCAUAAGGAAGCUUGACUGUGAGACCUACAAGUCGAGCAGGGACGAAAGUCGGUCUUAGUGAUCUGACGGUGCUGAGUGGAAAGGCCGUCACUCAACGGAUAAAAGUUACUCUAGGAUAACAGGCUGAUCUCCCCCAAGAGUUCACAUCGACGGGGAGGUUUGGCACCUCGAUGUCGGCUCAUCGCAUCCUGGGGCGGUAGUACGUCCCAAGGGUUGGGCUGUUCGCCCAUGAAAGCGGUACGCGAGCUGGGUUCAGAACGUCGUGAGACAGUUCGGUCCAUAUCCGGUGUAGGCGUUAGAAUAUUGAGAGGAGCCUUCUUUAGUACGAGAGGACCGAGAAGGACAUACCUCUGGUGUACCAGUUAUCGUGCCAACGGUAAACGCUGGGUAGCUAUGUAUGGAGAGGAUAACCGCUGAAAGCAUCUAAGUGGGAAGCCCACCUCAAGAUGAGUAUUCUCAG
rnacentral:rRNA from 1 species